GGGGAAGAUAAAAAUAUCAGACAUCAGUUUUAUUAUUCAGCCUUAAUUCAGCUGGACAGACUUACACAGUUAAUGUAAAAAUAUCAAGGUCAUCUUUCUCCUACAGAGUCUGAAGUGUGCCGCUGUUAUAAUUAUAGUCUUUGACAGUGUUCAACUUAUAAGUAAUUAUUAAUUGAUUAAUUGAAUUGAGAAUGUAUUACUCAACUCAAAGUUAUAAAAAAUCAAUUUACAGCGUAUAACUAUGUGGAAAUGGGGAAAAAAGCAAAUUAAAAGACUUUCCAUUGUAAAAUUUCAACUCUCUGCACACCCAGAGUUGUUUUCAUUUCUUUUGGCUGAUUAGACGUUUGUUCAGGUUGAAGUUGGGUUGGUGUUACUGUGGGAUUUAUCUGAAGGUUCAUGUACAAAUAAAGAUCAUAAACAUGUAGGUUGUCGCUCCCUAUGAAGGUGCAACAAAGCCAACAGGAGAGUGAAGGAAAUGUCAAACUGUCUGUUCACUCCCACACAAACCUGAGAAAAGAUCUAAUCAACUGAAAAAGAAACGUGUAAAGGAACGUGUAGGCGUACAAUUCCUGUGCAGGGCCUUGAUAUGAAGAUUUGAUCUACUCUUUGAUUUCAACUUUGAACUAUAAAUCCACGAUUUGAAUCUGAAAUUUACAGAAAUUGCAUAAGGUGGAUUUUCCAAAUGGGGUUCAGAUGGGGUUUAUUCUCCCAAGAGUCUUAUAUUUGAAAUAGCUUAUGAAUAAAUAUUCCUAACUUCUUUUGGCAGGAAUCAUGACCUCAGUAUUUCUUCAACCCUUUGCUUAAACUCUGAAUGUAUUUAAUCCAGAUUUCAUCCUCUUGUCUGUGUCAGCUUUACGCAAAUAGAGCUGUGUACACCGACAGCGCAGCGGCUCGCAUUUCACUCGUGGGUGACCGCCAGAGAAGCUACGUAUUACCUGGAUUUCCGCUGUUGGUGGCGACCAGGAAGAACAAAAAAAAAAAAAAAGAAGAAAAUCCACAUUUUACACAGAUAAUUGAUUUCUAUUUUUAUGUGUCUUGAUAGGGGGGCGUGGUCAGGUCACAAUGAACAUGAUGCUUCGGGGUGUUUCACUUUGGAGAGCAACAACAAGUCAGCCUCUCUCCCCGAGGUGAUGGCAAACCUUAUGAUAAGCACAUCAUAGGCAGAUCCACCCCAGUGGUAUCUGUGUGCACCAGGGAGCUGUAGCUCUAGGCAGCGAGGGAAGCAGUGGAGGCAUAACAAAGAGCCAGAGGAAGACAGCCGGAGAGCUUGGCAGAGAUGAGAGGAGCUGCAGCUCUCUCUUUCUCCUCUCCCUUUCCCUUUCUCUCCCCGUGGCUGCCUCUGUGGAGCGCAGGAAGAACAAAGCCAAACAAAGGAGGAAGACAGGAGAAAGAGGAGCAAGCGAUGUGACUCCACUCCAUACCUGGCUGACUCGAGCGGGGCCGGAUGCUCCCCAGAGACCCUUAGCCGCUCAGAUGACUGCAGGCAGAGGCUGCAGCACAGGCAGCUCAGCUUUGUUUCUCCAUACUGGUGCACAGCGGCGGCGGAGCUGUCACCUGGUGUAAGCGCUGCACUCGGGGGGAUAAGGCAAGGUGCCCACUCAUGACAGAAUCGAAAUUACUCCUCACUCAAAGGCAAAUCUAGACAUCAAUCUCUCUCUGAAAGAGAAAAUAGCUCGAGUUUCCUCAUUAGAAGUGCAGCCUUCUGAGCAGGCAGGAGCCCUAUUUCUCAUCUCGGCUCAACAUCUGCAUGCAGACACAUGAAUAAAUAAUGGCCUGAGCUUUCAAGGCCACACUGGGCUCUCGUUACUUUGCCAGGGCAUGACUACUCCAGCCUCAAAGAGAGGUGUCGGGAGAGCAAUAAAACAUCAGUGCGAGCUGCCAGCUUUAUCUAAAGCAAAGGAGAAGAUGACUCUCUUUGUGAUUAGAUAGCUUGUGCACCAUACCGCACAGCAGAUAGAGAAGUGUGAGCUUCUUCCACCACCGGAUCUGAUGGGAAUCUGUGGCCAAACAAGGGGGAAGGAGACGCUGCAACCUUGUGCUGGUUUCUUUCUCCUCUGCAUCCACCAGUCACUGGUACACAGGGGAUGGCUAAAUUUAGCCAUCCACCAUGAGAACCAGUUCAGAGGCAAAGCUGGGAUGACAGAGUACACUUCCACGCUGGUGAAUUCACACCCAACUGUUCUGGAUUUACAUUUCUUUCUUAAUUCUCUUCAGUCACUCUCUUUGUCUGGGUCAAUUUUUUGCUGUAAAUGGGGUAGAGAGUGAAAAGUAGGGCUCAUCUGUUAUCCAGACCAGCGCCGUGCUGGGCCUCAGCCAUGACACUGUUAAAAUAUAAUGGAUGUUCAGGUUUCAAGGUGAGGUGAUCAUUUACACCUGCUGAAAGGUUUUUUUCUUUCAAUAUAAAGAAGCUGCAGAAAAUAUUCAGACCCUUUCACUUUUUAAAUACUUUAUUGUGUUGUAGAUUUAUCUUUAAAAACUGCUACUUUACACAUAAUAACCCCAUGAUGACACCACACGUCAGGAGAAAGAUUUAAACACAAAGUCCAAGGAUCUCUCUGCAGACCUGUGUGAUGAAACUGUGGUGAGGCGUAGCUCAGGGUCAGGGGUAUAAAACCAUUUCCAAAGCUUUGAAUGUUCCCAGGAGCGCAGCGGCCUCAGUAAUUGUGAAAUGAAAGCUUGGAGUCUUUCUCGAGUCUGCCAUCCGGCAAGAAGAGCCUUGGUCAGGGAGGUGACCAAGAACCUGACGGUUACAGAGAUGGAGAACCUGCCUGAAGGACUCUGUCAAUCAGGCCUUUAUAGAUGGAAGCCACACUGAGUUUGCCAAUGGACGUUUAAACGAUGCUCAUGAGGAAAAAGAUUCUCUAAUCUGAUGAGACAAAAACGUUACCAUUUGAACAGAUCUCUGGCUAAUACCAUCCACAGGGUGAAGCGUGGCGGUGGCAGCGCCUUGAUAGAGGAGUCCUUGAAGAAGACCACACGACCUGAGACUGGGGCGUCAGUUCACCUUUCAGCGCGGCACUGACCUGAAGCAAACGGCCAAGACACGGGAGUCUCUGACUGUACUUGAGAGGAUCUUCAAUGAAGAAUGAAAUAAACUGCCCAAAUUCAGGUGCGCAAAGCUUGUAGAGAAUUACUCACUGAAUGUUCUAGUUCAUUACAGCUUGGGUUUUAUUUUCAUCAACUGUAGAUAAAAAACCAACCAACCAACACAGCACAAAAAACAAAACUACAAAAAUAAGCCACAAGUUGUAAUAAACAAAAAUUGAUCUUUUAAAGAGGAGCAGUCUGACAGUUUGGAAAACACACUUUCUGUUUCUCAGAUGAGAAGAGAAGAAACUUAUCUCUGUGCAUCUAGUACAGAGAGUGCUAUGAGAUGUGUUUAGACUUGCUUGUUAUGCAGAAAUAUGGAACUGCUCCUUUAAAAGAAAACCCAACAAUGCAUGACCCGAGUCCAGCUGUAUUACUUAACACACAGACACGAGACUCCAUUUUUCUUAUCUCGCUCUCUGAAAGAAAGCAAAUCAACUUAUUUUUCAAAAAACGUUAAGUAAGGAUAUCUUUGCAUUGUGUUGUAGCCCUGCAUCAGGUGGAGACCCGGAGCAGAGGGGAGUCAGUGUGUGCUCACCUGUUAAGUCUCUUGACCCGCUCCGAAGCCUUUACACUCAACUUCAUUUCCACAAAGGCAAUUUUUCUACUCGCAGCUGUUUAACCCAAAGGCCCCGGCGCUGUCAGCACUCAGAUAUUUUCUCUGGCAGUUUGCUUUAAGCAAUUUCUUUAAGUGAUUGCUGCCUGACACCUCCGCUCCAGGUCUGAGCACUACUUGUCCCCUAUCUAAUCCAAACCAAAAUGAGAUCUUAUCAGUUUUAAUGUGUGAUUCAGAAUUCUGCACAUUUGUGUUUCAUGCUAUCUCUGUAAUUAACCCUGUUACGUCUCACAUGCUUGCAAAUGGGAUUAUAAAGCCACAUUACACAUGCAAGUCCUGAGUUAGAUCUUAAUGAAGAGGAUGAUGAGAGGUUCAGUAGUAGCUGUUCUAUCAUGGGGGUUCAAGUAAUAAUCUGCAACAUUUUCAGAUUAAUUACGAUAAAUUAAUAUAAAUGAA